rnacentral:rRNA from 1 species
UGGGGAAUUUUGGACAAUGGGGGAAACCCUGAUCCAGCCAUCCCGCGUGUGCGAUGAAGGCCUUCGGGUUGUAAAGCACUUUUGGCAGGAAAGAAACGUCAUGGGUUAAUACCCCGUGAAACUGACGGUACCUGCAGAAUAAGCACCGGCUAACUACGUGCCAGCAGCCGCGGUAAUACGUAGGGUGCAAGCGUUAAUCGGAAUUACUGGGCGUAAAGCGUGCGCAGGCGGUUCGGAAAGAAAGAUGUGAAAUCCCAGAGCUCAACUUUGGAACUGCAUUUUUAACUACCGGGCUAGAGUGUGUCAGAGGGAGGUGGAAUUCCGCGUGUAGCAGUGAGAUGCGUAGAUAUGCGGAGGAACACCGGUGGCGAAGGCAGCCUCCUGGGAUAACACUGACGCUCAUGCACGAAAGCGUGGGGAGCAAACAGG